rnacentral:lncRNA from 1 species
CAUUUUUGUAAGUAUCAGUUUUAUUGCCUAUUUUAAGACCCUGGACCUUAGUUUAUUACAUUUGGACGAAUGUCACCAAGGCAGAUAAAAUAGAUAAUAAUUUUCUGAUUGUGGUUAGGUUUGCAAUGUGAAGGUAUUUCACUAAAUUAUUUUGUUAUUUCUCCAGAAGUUUCAUGACAUAUGAUACUCUUGUAUAAUGUGAUAUAUUGAUAUUUGGAAGAUCUGUACAACUCAGUGAAUCAUUAUUUUCUAAAUAAUGAAUGCUUGCUGUAACAAAAUUAUGUAUAGAUAAAGGAUUCUUUCAAAGUGCAAUUCAGACCAAGGGAUGUUAAUGUAACAGAAUAUGAAAAGUUUAUUGAUAUGGUUUCAGGUUCCACUUUGCAACUAAUCAUUAAGAAACCACCAGUGUUGAGUUUGGUAUAGUGUCAAGGAAUAUCAUAAUUAUUUGCAAAAACUCUUAAAAGAAUCCUUCUUUCCCAAAAACAUAUGCAUGAAUCUAGAUUUUUUUCAUAUACUUCAGUUAAAAUGACAUUGCAACAGACUGAAAGCAGAAACACAUAUAAAAAUCCAGCUGUGUUGUAUUGGCCAGACAUUAAAAUGAUUUAUAAAAAAUAUAACAUAGUGCUACUUUGCUCACAAAAGUUUUGUGUUUGAGAGAAUAUAGAGAUUUUUUUUCAUAAAAUGCUAACAUUUAAUGGGCUUAUUAUUUUAAAAUGGAAAAAAAUCAGUGAAAACAAUUUUGAAUUUCCAUUUUAAUUUCUAACAUUAAAUAUAAGACAAUUCACAUAAACAAAACUCUCUGAACUUCUCAAUAAUUUUCACCUGUAUAAAAGGAUUCUGAGACCAAAAAUUUUGAGAACUGUGGUUGCUUCAAGUCAAUUAAGUUCCUAAGGAUUUCCAUGUUACCACUGUGAACUCUAAAAAAUAAAAAGUACUCUAGGCCCUGAAAACAAUUCCCAAGAAGAACCCUUGAAAAUGUUCUGAGAUAAGGUACACUGCUGGAAAGAAGGUUUGACUUCCCAAGAUAAGUAUUUAACUGCUUAAAACUUUUUUGGAUAGAGAAUUCUAUUGUGUUUAAUUAAAAGAAGUCUUCCGUAUAGUGUCUAGAUUCUCAUCUUUGGGGUUGUAAUUGGAAAGUGAGAAAAAGUCACAUAUGUGGGAGAAAAACAACUGGGUGCCCAGCAAAUGGAUGAAACAGGUAUUCAAAAAUGAUGUGACCUUGUUACGUCCAGAAACCUGGAUGCUAAGUCCUGAGACCUGACUUUACUUCUGGAGACUUGGAUCACUCCAAGUGAAUCUCUCUUACAGGCAGAUCUUCCAUUUAGAUUUUGAUCUUCCAUUUAGAAGGGCAGUGAUAUGGAGAAUGCACCAUGGCGGGGUCUGUGUGGGAGGAUUUUCUAUGUAUAAUAAUAGGCUUCAUCUCUUUUAGAGCAAAGUAGAUAUAAGAGUGCAUUAGCAGAAGCAAGCCACACCACUCCCUUGCUUCCUCUUCCUUUUAAAAUACUGAUUCAUAGGUACACUUGAAUAUGUGACACUGGCUCCACAUGGGGCUCAUACAGAGAUGGGGCAAACUCUGUGAAGAGCUUCACUACCUUGGUAUGAAAAUAAAUUUUCAAUCCUUAAAAAAUUAAAAAUAGAUCCAGUAAUCCCACUCCUGAGCAUAUAUCCAGAAAAGACGAAACUCUAUUUCAAAAAGAUACACGCACCCCAAUGUUCAUUGCAGUACUAUUCACAAUAGCCAAGACAUGGAAGCAACCUAAAUGUCCAACAGAUGAAUCAGUAGAAAGAUGUACAUAUGUACAAUGGAAUAUUACUAAGCCAAAAAAGAAUGAAAUAAUGCCACUUGUAGCAAUAUGGAUGAACCUAAGUAUUAUCAUAGUAAGUGAAGUAAGGUAGAAAAAGACAGAUAUCAAUAGGACAUCACUUACAUGUGGAAUCUUAAAAAAUGAUAUAAACGAACUUAUUUACAAAACAGAAAUAGACUCACAAACUUUGAAAACGAACUUAUGGUUACCAAAGGGCUAAGGAAGGGAGGGAUAAGUUAGGAAUUUGGAAUUAGCAGUUACAUACUACUAUAUAUAAAAUAGAAAAAUACCCAGGAGGUAGAGUACAGCACAGGGACUAUACCCAAUGUCUUGUAAUAAUCUAUAAUGCAAGAGAAUCUGAAAAAGGAUAACUGAGUCACUCUGCUGUUCACCUGAAACAUGGUAAAUCAACUAUACUUCAAAUAAAAAAAUUAAAAGUAUUAGUAUUUUCAAAAAAGAAAAAAAAGGCAUAGUUGUACAUCCCAUAUUUACUUCCAGCCUUUGUAGAAUUGCAAAUGAUGGAAGAGGAGAUCAAAUUCAUCAUUCAUCACACAAAACAUCGUAGCUGGAAUCCUGUAGAGAGAUUUAUCUCCUUUUUCUGUGUUUUGGCAUUUAAACAGAGAGAGAAGAUGAUUAAACCAUGCAAGAAAUUCGCACUGAUACCGAUCACAUAAUAUGUGCCACCCUUCUUUAGAGUGUUUGUGUUUUAAAAGGGAACCAAAAUGAGCAUUCAACUGGAGUAAACAAUCUGGGAAAGUGUUUUGAAUAAAGGAGUGAAUAAUUGUAAAGUGCUAGGCAAGGAUCGGGUACUGCCUUUCCAAGGCACAUCACAUGACAUAUAGAGGACAGCCUAGUACUAACAUAAUAAUGAAAUUUAAAAAAUGGAAAAAUGUUAAAACAAAAAAGCCUACUAAUAACAUCUGCAGCCUUCCCCCAGUUACCUAAGUUGAUUCUAAAUUCUCCUCUGACUUUAUAGGUAUUUUCUUUCAUGCCCUAGUCCAGUGACCUAACCUGGCUGCACAUUGGAACUCCUGGGGGAGCAUUUACAUUUUUUAUUAAAAAACCAGGAGUUCCCAUUGUGGCUCAGUGGUUAAUGAAUCCAACUAGGAACCAUGAGGUUGCGGGUUCGAUCCCUGGCCUUGCUCAAUGGGUUAAGGAUCUGGCGUUGCUGUGGCUCUGGCGUAGGCUGGCGGCUACAGCUCCGAUUAGACCCCUAGCCUGGGAACCUCCAUAUGCUGCGGG